rnacentral:rRNA from 1 species
GGUCACGGGGGGCCGGCGGCGAGGGUGUGUGGUGGGGGGUGAGAGUUGUCCGGAAUCAUGUGGCGUGAGUGGUGCGUUGGCGGCCCUGUACGUCAGCUGUGAAAGUCAAAGGCUCAACCGUUGAAGGUCAGCGGAUACUGCCGGGCUAGAGUCCGGAAGAGGGGAGUGGAAUUCCUGGUGUAGCGGUGGAAUGCGCAGAUAUCAGGAGGAACACCAACGGCGAAGGCAGCUCGCUGGGACGGUACUGACGCUGAGGCGCGAAAGCGUGGGGAGCGAACAGGAUUAGAUACCCUGGUAGUC